rnacentral:rRNA from 1 species
AGUGAAUAUAGGACGUCCAACUUAACUUGGAGUCCGAACUCUCACUUUCUAACCCUGUGCAUUUGUUUGGGAUAGUAACUCUCGCAAGAGGGCGAACUCCUAUUCACUUAUAAACACAAAGUCUAUGAAUGUAUUAAAUUUUAUAACAAAAUAAAACUUUCAACAACGGAUCUCUUGGCUCUCGCAUCGAUGAAGAACGCAGCGAAAUGCGAUAAGUAAUGUGAAUUGCAGAAUUCAGUGAAUCAUCGAAUCUUUGAACGCACCUUGCGCUCCAUGGUAUUCCGUGGAGCAUGCCUGUUUGAGUGUCAUGAAUACUUCAACCCUCCUCUUUCUUAAUGAUUGAAGAGGUGUUUGGUUUCUGAGCGCUGCUGGCCUUUAGGGUCUAGCUCGUUCGUAAUGCAUUAGCAUCCGCAAUCGAACUUCGGAUUGACUUGGCGUAAUAGACUAUUCGCUGAGGAAUUCUAGUCUUCGGACUAGAGCCGGGUUGGGUUAAAGGAAGCUUCUAAUCAGAAUGUCUACAUUUUAAGAUUAGAUCUCAAAUCAGGUAGGACUACCCGCUGAACUUAAGCAUAUCAAUAAGCGGAGGAAAAG